GUCUAUGGCCAUGCUACCCUGAACAAGCCCGAUCCCCGUCUGAUGUCAGAAGCUAAGCAGGGUCGGGCCUGGUUAGUACUUGGAUGGGAGACCACCUAGGAAGACCAGGUGCUGUAGGCG
rnacentral:rRNA from 1 species